rnacentral:misc_RNA from 1 species
GGUGGAUAUAGCUUACGCGCCAUUCAUUGAAAGAUUCCAGCCCUUCUUGCUCGAGGUAAAAAACUAUGACAUUACAACAGGCAGGACAAAACUUGCAGCAUGGAUCAAGGAGAUGAACCAAAUUGAAGGUUAUACAGUAACUAAACGUGACCCAAAGGAGCACCUGGAGAACUAUAAAAGACGUUUCUUGUCUCAGCUCUGAUGAGCAUUACACAGCAUCCACAAUUAUGCAAUGAUCACUGCUGAGUUCUGAACAGUUUAUAUGUGCAGGGGGCUGUCUUUUUCAUUGUAUUAGGAUAUGAUUAAUCUCAGCAUAAAAAUUCCACAUAUGGAAUAUAUAGCUGCACAGUGAAGUUGUUUCCAUAAAAUCUAUAUAUACCUUACAGAUUUGAGCCGUAUAAGCAGCAUUAGAGUAG